rnacentral:rRNA from 1 species
UACGAAGGGUGCAAGCGUUACUCGGAAUUACUGGGCGUAAAGCGUGCGUAGGUGGUUUGUUAAGUCUGCUGUGAAAGCCCCGGGCUCAACCUGGGAAUGGCAGUGGAUACUGGCAAGCUGGAGUGCGGUAGAGGGUAGUGGAAUUCCCCGGUGUAGCGGUGAAAUGCGUAGAGAUCGGGAGGAACACCAGUGGCGAAGGCGGCUACCUGGACCAGCACUGACACUGAGGCACGAAAGCGUGGGGAGCAAACAGG